GCUUCCUUGGCUCAGUUGGUAGAGCGUUGGUCUCAUACGAUACAUGAGUGACUUGAAAGUCGCAUAAUCCAAAGGUCGUGAGUUCGAGCCUCACAGGGAGCA
rnacentral:tRNA from 1 species